GGGGCCGUAGUUCAGCUGGGAGAACGCCCCGAUGAAAUCGGGGAGGUCAGGGGUUCAACUCCCCUCGGCUCCA
rnacentral:tRNA from 1 species